rnacentral:rRNA from 1 species
GUCCACGCCCUAAACGAUGUCAACUAGGUGUUGGGAGGGUAAACCUUUAGUACCGGAGCUAACGCGUGAAGUUGACCGCCUGGGGAGUACGGCCGCAAGGUUAAACUCAAAGGAAUUGACGGGGACCCGCACAAGCGGUGGAUGAUGUGGAUUAAUUCGAUGCAACGCGAAAACCUUACCUACCCUUGACAUGUCCAGGAGCCUGAAGAGAUUUGGGUGUGCCCGAAAGGGAACUGGAACACAGGUGCUGCAUGGCUGUCGU